GACGAACGCUGGCGGCGUGCCUAACACAUGCAAGUUGAGCGACGAACCAGGGCUUGCCCUGGGGCAAAGCAGCGAACGGGUGAGUAACACGUGGGUAACCUACCCCGAUAACCGGGACAACCCGAGGAAACUCGGGCUAAUACCGGAUGUGCUCACUGAACUUCGGUUCAGUGCGUAAAGGAAGCUUCGGCCUCCGUAUCGGGAGGGGCCCGCGGCCCAUUAGCUAGUUGGUGUGGUAACGGCUCACCAAGGCCGCGAGGGGUAGCUGGUCUGAGAGGACGAUCAGCCACACUGGGACUGAGACACGGCCCAGACUCCUACGGGAGGCAGCAGUGGGGAAUCUUGCGCAAUGCGCGAAAGCGUGACGCAGCAACGCCGCGUGGGGGAAGAAGGCCUUCGGGUUGUAAACCCCUUUCAGGAGGGACGAAGGUUCACCGGUGAAUAGCCGUGUGGAUUGACGGUACCUCCACAAGAAGCUCCGGCUAACUACGUGCCAGCCGCCGCCGUAA
rnacentral:rRNA from 1 species